UUUCCUUUUCUUCUUUGUCUCUCUCAUUUUUCUCCAUUCCUUCUUCAACUUUGAUUUUCCAAAUCAAACUCUACAAAACUUUUAGUAAGUGAAAAUCAAAUUCUUCUUUUAAGCUUGAAAGAUUUGGGCUUUCUUAAUCAAGGAAAACAAAGGUGAGUAAUUUUAAUUGCUUGAUUUUGCUGUAAAUUAGGGUUAAUGAUAUGAAAUUGUUGAUGAUUAUGUGUUUUGGAAUUGUUUAAUCAAGAGUAAACAUGCUUUUACUUGUGAUCUUGAAGCUGAAAUUUCUGGGCAGAUUUUUCACUUAUGAUUUCGUGACCUUAGAGGCUUUAUCUCGAAAAUUUUCAAACAUGAAAGUUGUAGGUAUAUGUCUCAAGAAUAUCUCUGUAAAAUGGUUUUGCAGAUUGUUGAGUGAGUAGGAACUUAUGAGGUUCGAUUUUGCUGCUGCUCUGUUUUUGGUUCAGCAGGUGACCUGGUUUUUGUACUGACAUUUUGAGGCAUUUAGAGGCUGAACCAAGCAGAGAGUUAAACAUGAAAGUUGUUUAUUUAUAUAUGUAGUAUAUGUCUGAAAAAUUUCAUAAUUUUUGGUUGAGUAUAACGUGAGAUAUGUUGAACUUAAUAUGGCCUGCCCGAAACUGUUUUAAGCAGAAAUCGGGCUUAGGAUUCAGAAAUUUGUUGCUAAUUGUGUGUUUCACAACUUGAGCUAGAAAAGUCCAAAUUGAGUAAAAUUAGUGUCUAUAGAAACUUUAGAAUGUUAACUUUAUAUCUGGAGAGUUUCAUCAGAAAAUUCAUUUGUUUGAUUGGUCAUUUAAUAGGAAACUUUUUUUUCUGUUCUGUUUAGAUGGAAAUUUGAGCAGCUGUAUAGAAAAUGCCAUAACUAUUUCUAUACCAAUGAUUUUGAGGUGAUUCUUUCUGCUAUGGUUUCUAUAAAAAUGAAAGUGUAAUUCUGGAAAAUAUGAGAUUUUUAUUAAUUGUACAUAAGUUUUGGUGUAAUUUCUAAGUCAGUACCUACAAGCUGCCUUUAUCAACAAAUAUGUUGAUUUGUUGUCAUUCAUCUCAUGCAUCAUAUUAAUAUCUAGAAUAUAUGUUAUUUUGUUGAAAUGUGAUAUUUUAUUGAUAGUAAAUAUAUAUAUAUAUAUUUAUGCCUUGUGAUUGAAUUGUAUUUGUAUUGAAUAUGUGAAUAGGUUCAUCCAAAGGCAAGGAAGUGGUAAGAGAAAAAGAAUAGGAUUACUUUGUUAUCCUAUAACUUCUGGUAAGUAUUUAAUAGACUAAACUUUGUGUAUAUUGAGUAAGGACUGCUGUUUGAUUACUUGAUAAUUUCUUGGUUGACUGAGUUGAUAUUAGUUAGGUUUUUGGCUUGUUAUAAAGUGAAUUGAUUGUGAUGUGUUGUGAAGUGAAUUGAUUGUGAUGUGUUGUGAAGUGAAAUGAUUGUGAUUAAGGAUUGAUGACUUUUGUAUGGAUAUUGUGUGAUCGGGAAAGCUGAGCCGGGCGGAUAGCUACCCGAGUAUGUGAGAUGGCAAGACUGAGCCGGGCGGAUAGUCUUGUCAAGUGGUUACUGAAAUUUAAAAAUGUGAGGAAAUGUAAGGAUGAGUCAUCUGAUCCUAAUUUGAUAGAAAUAAUGUGGAAUUGAAUUAUUUGACUUGGUUGAGUUUGAGAUUAUUUGCAUUACGUGAGAUGAAAUUAUAUGUUUAUGAGAAUAACUGAAAUGGUUGAUUUUGUGAUUGUUAGUUAAGUGUUGGUAUAAUUUUCUGUAUUGAUAAAGAUUUGGUAAUUCUAGCCUAAUAUACUAUAGUUUAGUAAAUUAAAUGCUUAUUGAGUCGCUAGCUCAUUCCUUAGCAAUUUUUUUUUUUCAGGUUAGUGCAGUUGUAAAUAGCCUUAGCUGUGCAUUGCUCUUUUUGCAUCAGUCAAUAUUAUCAGGUGGGCCAGAGGAGUUAUCUAAAGCAUUGGGGCAUUUUGGGAACUUGUGUGAAUUAAACUACUGUAUAAAUAUUUCUUAUAUAUAUUAAGUAUGUCAUGCCACUUAAAUUGUAUGAAUGUAUAUUGUAACUAAGUAGUAAAUUAUGUUUAUAAAGUUAUAUAUAUAUAUAUAUUGCUAUUCAAUGGGAAGUUUGAGUUGGGGUGUUAUAAUAACUCAAUUCAAAUAUACAGUAAAUAUCUGGCCACAGAUUAAAAUCUGAUUAUUUAAUAUUUUAUUAGAAUUAGGACGUAAGGAUUCUAGCUGUAUAGAGGCACACUGCACAGAGUUACCUGUAACAUUCUCAGUAUCAG
rnacentral:lncRNA from 1 species